rnacentral:rRNA from 1 species
GACAGAGGAGCCAAGCGUUGUCCGGAUUGACUGGGCGUAAAGCGCACGCAGGCGGGUGCGCGCGUGGGGGGUGAAACCUGGCCGCUUAACGGCCAGCGGCCAUCCCAUACGGCGCGCCUGGAGCCUUGCAGAGGGCGGUGGAAUUGCCGGUGUAGUGGUGAAAUGCGUAGAUAUCGGGAGGAACACCAGUGGCGAAGGCGACUUCCUGGCCUGUUCUUGACGCUGAGGCGCGAAAGCUAGGGGAGCAAACGGG